ACUGCAAGUCGAGCGGACAGAUGGGAGCUUGCUCCCUGAUGUUAGCGGCGGACGGGUGAGUAACACGUGGGUAACCUGCCUGUAAGACUGGGAUAACUCCGGGAAACCGGGGCUAAUACCGGAUGGUUGUUUGAACCGCAUGGUUCAGACAUAAAAGGUGGCUUCGGCUACCACUUACAGAUGGACCCGCGGCGCAUUAGCUAGUUGGUGAGGUAACGGCUCACCAAGGCGACGAUGCGUAGCCGACCUGAGAGGGUGAUCGGCCACACUGGGACUGAGACACGGCCCAGACUCCUACGGGAGGCAGCAGUAGGGAAUCUUCCGCAAUGGACGAAAGUCUGACGGAGCAACGCCGCGUGAGUGAUGAAGGUUUUCGGAUCGUAAAGCUCUGUUGUUAGGGAAGAACAAGUGCCGUUCAAAUAGGGCGGCACCUUGACGGUACCUAACCAGAAAGCCACGGCUAACUACGUGCCAGCAGCCGCGGUAAUACGUAGGUGGCAAGCGUUGUCCGGAAUUAUUGGGCGUAAAGGGCUCGCAGGCGGUUUCUUAAGUCUGAUGUGAAAGCCCCCGGCUCAACCGGGGAGGGUCAUUGGAAACUGGGGAACUUGAGUGCAGAAGAGGAGAGUGGAAUUCCACGUGUAGCGGUGAAAUGCGUAGAGAUGUGGAGGAACACCAGUGGCGAAGGCGACUCUCUGGUCUGUAACUGACGCUGAGGAGCGAAAGCGUGGGGAGCGAACAGGAUUAGAUACCCUGGUAGUCCACGCCGUAAACGAUGAGUGCUAAGUGUUAGGGGGUUUCCGCCCCUUAGUGCUGCAGCUAACGCAUUAAGCACUCCGCCUGGGGAGUACGGUCGCAAGACUGAAACUCAAAGGAAUUGACGGGGGCCCGCACAAGCGGUGGAGCAUGUGGUUUAAUUCGAAGCAACGCGAAGAACCUUACCAGGUCUUGACAUCCUCUGACAAUCCUAGAGAUAGGACGUCCCCUUCGGGGGCAGAGUGACAGGUGGUGCAUGGUUGUCGUCAGCUCGUGUCGUGAGAUGUUGGGUUAAGUCCCGCAACGAACGCAACCCUUGAUCUUAGUUGCCAGCAUUCAGUUGGGCCCUCCAAGGG
rnacentral:rRNA from 1 species